ensembl:lncRNA
AUUACAUUUAUAUUAUGUAACUUUAAUUUGUACCAAAGCACACUAAUGUUCUGUUCAUUGUUAAAAAAUCUUUUUUUAUGUUCUGCUGCUGCUGCUGCUGCUAAGUUGCUUCAGUCGUGUCCGACUCUGCGUGACCCCAUAGACAGCAGCCCACCAGGCGCCCGCGUCCCUGGGAUUUUCGAGGCAAGAACACUGGAGUGGGUUGCCAUUUCCUUCUCCAGUUCAGGAAAGUGAAAAGUGAAAGUGAAGUUGCUCAGUCGUGUCCGAAUCUUAGCGACCCCAUGGACUGCAGCCUUCCAGGCUCCUCCGUCCAUGGGAUUUUCCAGGCAAGAGUACUGGAGUGCGGUGCCAUUGUCUUCUCCCUUUUUAUGUUCUAUGUUUCACUAUUAAUUUUUUAUUGCUUUUUUUUCAAGUAUUUCUUCCAUAGUAUGUAAUCUGCUAUUACUACCAUCCAAUUUUUUUUUUUCAUCUUAGAUAGUGUGGUUUUCAUUUCUAGAAGUUUGAGUUAGGUAUUUUCUUUAUCUUUCAUGUCUCAAAUUAACAAACUCAGUUUUUCCUCUGUCUUCUUAAACAUAAGGAAUACAGUAAUGAUAACUGUUUUAAUAUGAUGAGUAAGAAUGUGUGUGUGCUCACUCAGUCGUGUCUGUCUCUUUGCAACCCCAUGGACUAGCCUGCUGGGUUUCUCGGUCCAUCCGAUUUUUCAGGCAAGAAUACUGGAUCAGGUUGCCAUUUCCUUCUCCAGGGGAUCUUCCUGACCCAGAGAUCAAACCCGUGUCUCCUGCCUCUCCUGCAUUGGCAGGCGGAUUCUUUAUCACUGAGCCACCACGGAAGCCCACAUUUUUUUGGCUGUAUCUUGCAGCAUGUGCGAUUUUAGUUCCCUGACCAGGGAUUGAAGCUGUGCCCUUUGCAGUGGGAGCUCAGAGUCCAAAUCACAGGACUGCCAGGUCUACCAUCAUGUCAUUUUUGAUUAAUUUCCAAUUGAUUGUAUUUUCUCCUAGUUAUGGUCCAAAUUUUUCUGCUUCUUUGUGCGCCUGGUAAUUUUUGAUUAGAUGCUUUUUUAUUGUGAUUUUAGCUUUUUGGGUGCAGGUUUUUUUUUUUUUUUCCUUAUACAAAUUCUGGAGCUUUGUUCUGGGACAUAGUUAUUUAGAAAUAGUUUACCCUUUUGAGUCUUGUAAACUUUUAAGGCAGGAGCAGAACAGCAUUUAGUCGAGGGCUAAUUUUGGCCCACUAUAGAGACAAAAACCUUCUAAUUGAAUACUCUAUCUCAUGUUCCAUGAAUUAUGAGAUUUGUCAUUCUGGUUAGUGAGAACAAAAACUACUCGUAGUCUCUUGAGAGCUCUUGAGUAUUGUUCCCUCUGAUCCUUUGGGUGGUUCUCUCACUGGCCUUUGGUCCUUUCCUCACAUCCAUAUAUUGAUUAGUACUCAGUUGAAGAUCCAGAGAAAGCCUUUGAAGAUCUCUGGACAUCCCGCUCAUUGCAGCUGUCUUAUCUUCUCUCCCAGCUAUCAGCUUCAUUUCCUCUACUUAGGGAGAUUGCCAGGCAUACCUUGAUCCCCUUUUCACUGUUUAGUCAAUCAGAGGAUUCACUUCAUUUGUUUUCCAUCUCUAUUCUUUGUUGCCUGAUAUCUAAUCUCUUGAAAAUUGUUGAUUGAUAUAUUUUGCCCAGUGUUUAGUUGUUUUAGAUGGGAAAAUAAUUAAUAGUUGCUAUUAUUCCAUCUUGGUCAGAGGUAGAAUUCUCUAAAAAUUUAAAAAACAUAUUUUGUUUCCAUACUCUAAUUAUAUCUUCAUAUUAUGAUGUAUUUUUAGUUGUAUAUACUGCAUUGUUGAAUAUUUUCCUGACAAAAGGGAAAUUUUGUUUUGACUAGCAUUGAUGAGCUAUUAAUUGCCCAUCUAUAAUUUUACACAUCCAACAACUGGAGGAAUUUUCUAGAGACCAACUUCUGACUUCAUACAUUUAAAAUAUUGUCCUCCAUUUCAGAUUUUACUUUUAGAGUCAGGUGCUAUAAGAUAUGGGCUUUCCUGGUGGCACAGAUGGUAAAGAAUCUGCCAGCAAUGUGGGAGACCCAUAGCAAUAAAACCUUUGAUGCUUCUCCUUCAUGUCAUUAUGCCUGCAAGGUGAGGAAGCACAGUGACAGGACCACUCCUGGAAGCCAUUUCUACACUGGGAUAACUAGCAAAAACUCAACUGUACAUGAAAGUGACUGCAAACCACAUAAAUAUAUUUUACUCAAAAAUAACCCAUUAUUCAACUUACCUUUAGCUGAAUUCUCAAAAUGCUUUGGUCACCACUCCAAGAUUACCCAAUAUAGAGGAAAGUGUGAUAUAGAUGCCAGAGUAAAAAGAGACAGCAGUCUUAACUGACUACAUUUAAAAUAUCUUACUUUAGGAAAUUUUAUAAAAACAUUUGGCCAAUGAACACAUUGCUUGGGCUCUUUAGGUCAGGAGGGGGCUGUACCAAUGAUAGCCCUUAAAGCUUAACUUCAUGGUCAAUCUGCCUCUGCUAAAGAUGCUGCUUCAUAGCCCUUAAAGCUUAACUUCAUGGUAAAUCUGCCUCUGCUAAAGAUGCUGCUUCAGUUCAGGCUCCCUGUGGCUGACCAAAGUGAAGUGAAGUCACUCAGUCGUGUCUGAAUCUUUUCGACCCCAUGGACUGUAGCCUACCAGGCUCCUCCAUCCAUGGGAUUUUCAGGCAAGAGUACUGGAGUGGGGUGCCAUUUCCUUUUCCAGAGGAUCUUCCCGACCCAGGGAUCAAACCCAGGUCUCCCACAUUGUAGGCAGCUGCAUUGUAGGCUUUACCAUCUGAGCCACCAGGGAAAUCCCAAACAGAGUCGAAAUUCUUUCCCUCAACAGAUCUUGCCUUUUCCUGAACUCAUUUACUUUUCCAGAUCCAAACUUCCAUCCCAGAGUUCCCACCCUGCAGGCUGGCAACUUGGUGCAGUGCAUAUGUUGUUCUCAUUACCUGGAAUACUCUUCACUGACUUCAUCUCCUGGGAGCAGCUACCCCUCCUUCAAGACCAGGAUGAGUGUCAUUUCCUCUAUGAGGCCGUACCUGACUCCCCUGGGGAUUAAUUGUGUCAACACAGUGUAUUCCUAUUUUUAGUUUAUUUAUGUUUCAAGCUUUAUUCUUUGAAGGAAGAAUGGAGAGUUGUGAGCUAAUAUUCCUGGGUACAAUAUCUUCCUGAAAGGCCCUUAGUAGGGCUGUUUUAUACGGAGAAGGCAAUGGCAAGAGUACUGGAGUGGGUUGCCAUUUCCUUCCCCAGAGGAUCUUCAAGGGAUCCAGCCUGGGCCCCCUGCAUUGUAGGCAGAUGCUUUACUGUCUGAGCCACCAGGGAAAUCCAUACCCCAGCGGCUGCAAAUAAUCUGCCUGCACUCACCGUGUCCUACGUUCUUUCGCGCUUAAUGUCAGAAAACCUCAAAGGAAGUUUCUCAUAGCUUCUUUACCAUGAUGCUGAAAUGCAGGCUAGCAAGGUUAGUUCUUGCUCAAGGUUACACAGAGGAUGGCAAAUCCUUGUUCUGAACUUUUCCUGCUGCUCCUAACUUCCCAUCCCCAGGUCCUACAUACCUAUACGUACACCCCGAUCAGUAAGACCCUGUAUCCCUCUGCCUUCUGUUUAUUUAAAUCCUGAACUUCUUAGGCACUUGAGGCCCUGCCACCCAUUUGGGGAACUUGCUGCCUGGCAUGUCACUUGGGCAAGGGUUCCCUCAUCAGAGUGUAAAUGCCAGCCUUUAGCAUGAGGCUUUACACAGAGUCAGUGCUUAAUAAACAUAAGCUGUGUCAGUGUCAGGCAGGCACAGCAAAUGUCCAGGGGAUAUGUGUGUGUGUGUGUGUGUGUCUCCUCAGUAUAGCUCAGGGUCUGCAUAGAGCCAGCAACAACAAACACCCGUUAAAAAUAUGUGAAUGAGGAUUUAACAGUUUAACAUUUCUACUUUGUUCUACCUCUUGUUUGUACCCAGCUGGGACUGACAACUCCCAGAAGGUAAGGAUGAGGAAUGCGGGUGUGUGUGUUGAGGGUGGGGGAGGGGGCGGUAUUGGGAGAAACCAAAGAGGCAUAGGGCAGGGAGCAGAGCUUUCCCAUGCUGAGAAUAAGGCUCACAUAGAGAAUGAGAGGGGGAGAGAGAGAGAUGCCAAGAUCUAAGAGCGGAAGGAAAAUGAGCCCUGAAUAGGAGCCUUGUGUGUGGCCCUGUGGUGCUGACUCACCAAGACUUGGGAGAGGAGAACACACUAGGGAUGAAGAAGGGGCCUGUGUGCUGUGGCUACCAGUCUGCCACCCCAAGGACACCCGGUCUGCCCUGAGGCCCAGAUGGUCUUGAGAGGUUUUGAUUUGGGUUAGGUGGGCUGGGGGUGGGGGUGGCCACUAUAAGGGAGAUGGGGAAGUCUUUGGAGAAUACAGAAGACCCUUCCUGGGAGAGCUGUGGGUCUGAGUUCCGGUUGGCAGGAGGAGCAGGGGAAGGAGGUGUCUCCCCAAAUAUUCAGUUGCAGUCUCCUCUACAGGCAGGUGUGGCAGGUCAGACUCACAAGCCGGGAGAGGUAGGUGCUCAUGGCUUCAGAGGCUUCUUGUCCAUACCGGAGGAGGAAGUCAUGCCUUGUGAGUAAGUGCUUCCCAGAGCUGAUGCUACAGAUGGAGGCAUUGCCUGGGAGUAGAAGCUCUGCAAUCCUCCCCACUCCCAGCCUCACCUUGGCUGUCAAACCGGUUCACAGACAUGAGGAUGGGAUUUUUGUGGCAACCAGAAUGGCAGGUGGCCCUAGGCCAGCAGGCGGAGGGCAGAGCCCUGGUGGACAGGAUCAAAGGUCAGACAUUGUGGAGAAACAGGCAAGAGGAGGAAAGAGCGCCUGAGGGAGCAGCCGGGGCUGGGCUAGGAACUCUGGUCCCAGGUCGGCUCAGGAAAGGCGCAGGUGGCUGAAGCAGGAAGAGGGAGCUAGACUGACUCUUUAGACCUAGGCUUGUUCUCCCUAUCUGCAGUACCAGGGAGCUAGAGUCAGGGGCUCUAAGCUUCCUUCUCACUCUAACACUUGAUGAUGCCACGUGUCAUCCCUCUCUCUUCUCCCCACCAAAGCCUCUUCUCUUUCAGUGUCCUGUUCCUAGCUCAGUCUCAGAAGAAAGCUAACAAACCAGGGGUUCAUACUUAAAUGUAUUACUGUCCACAAACUAAUGUUCUGAACUUCCCAAAUGUAUUACAUAUUAAAAAAAAGUUAUUUACUUAUUUGGUUGCAUCGGGUCUUAGUUGCAGGAUCUUCGAUCUUCCUUGUGGCAUGUAGGAUCUAGUUCCCUAAGGACUGAACCCCAGGCCCUUGCACUGCGAGGGCAGAGUCUUAGUCACUGGAAAUCCCAAAUGUCCUACAUACUUUCUACUAUAGUAUGGCCACUGGAAGGAGAGUGGACUUGAAGGCCUAAUGAGUGAAGGUUUGAAUCCCAGCUGUGCCCCUGACUCAGCCCAGCUGAGUUGUAGGACCUUGAGCAAUGUCCUGGGCCUCAGUAGGCCUUCAUUACUUUAUGGGUCAAGCAGGAAUAACCUGCCUCUUUCAGUAGUUGUGUUGAUUAAAUGAAGUAACACAUGUAAUAUACAUGAUUGACAGCUUGGUACCAAAUAAAAUACUCAGAAAAUGUGUCCGCCCACAUUUAGGGGACUUAGUCACGACCAGAAAGAACAGAGUCUGAGAGAUUAAGGUGCAGGAGGCUUACCAGGAGCUUCCCUGGUGGCUCAGAAGGUAGAGAAUCUGCCUGUGCUGCAGGAGACCUGGGUUUGAUCCCUGGGCUGGGAAGAUCCCCUGGAGGAGGUCGUGGCAACCCACUCCAGUAUUCUUGCCUGGAGAAUCGAGAAUCCCCAUGGACAGAGGAGCCUGGCAGUGUAGAGUCCUUGGGGGUCGCAGAGUCUGACACAACUGAGCAACUGAACACACACAGGCUUAACAGAGAGAACCCUUGGGAUCCACAGGAAGGAAGAGGGGAGGGAGGAAAAAGAAGAGGUGGGGACAGUUGAGCUGCGGCAGUCUCAACAGAGGACUUAGCUCUACAGGGAGUUUAGAAGCUCGGAUGACCCUUCAGAGCUCUCUUGAUUUGGGACAAGGGGGCCAGGUCUUUAUGCUCCAUAUCAGUCUUUGGAUGUGGACUGCCCAUGAAAGGAGAUGUGACCUUGGUGUCAAAUUGCUUUCCAAAGGGCUUACAGCCAAG